CUUGAUCGACCCCAGCCACAGCGGCUCGUCCCGGUCACGGCCGUAGACGGCCUGCAGCGCGCGCGCCUC
rnacentral:antisense_RNA from 1 species